rnacentral:rRNA from 1 species
GACGAACGCUGGCGGCAUGCUUAACACAUGCAAGUCGAACGGAAAGGCCCUGCUUUUGUGGGGUGCUCGAGUGGCGAACGGGUGAGUAACACGUGAGUAACCUGCCCUUGACUUUGGGAUAACUUCAGGAAACUGGGGCUAAUACCGGAUAGGAGCUCCUGCUGCAUGGUGGGGGUUGGAAAGUUUCGGCGGUUGGGGAUGGACUCGCGGCUUACCAGCUUGUUGGUGGGGUAGUGGCUUACCAAGGCUUUGACGGGUAGCCGGCCUGAGAGGGUGACCGGCCACAUUGGGACUGAGAUACGGCCCAGACUCCUACGGGAGGCAGCAGUGGGGAAUAUUGCACAAUGGGUGGAAGCCUGAUGCAGCAACGCCGCGUGCGGGAUGACGGCCUUCGGGUUGUAAACCGCUUUCGCCUGUGACGAAGCGUGAGUGACGGUAAUGGGUAAAGAAGCACCGGCUAACUACGUG